UACGGAGGGGGCUAGCGUUUUUCGGAAUUACUGGGCGUAAAGCGCACGUAGGCGGAUCAGAAAGUUGGGGGUGAAAUCCCGGGGCUCAACCUCGGAACUGCCUUCAAAACUAUUGGUCUUGAGUUCGAGAGAGGUGAGUGGAAUUCCGAGUGUAGAGGUGAAAUUCGUAGAUAUUCGGAGGAACACCAGUGGCGAAGGCGGCUCACUGGCUCGAUACUGACGCUGAGGUGCGAAAGCGUGGGGAGCAAACAGG
rnacentral:rRNA from 1 species